GUUGAGUUGUAUCAACCCCAAGUUCCAUGGUAGCUCAACAAAAAUCUUUUAAAACCAGCCUAAAUUUUAAGUACUUAUUUGUUCUAAGUAUGACAUGACUUAGCCAACAUGACGUGAAGCAAUCUAUCACUGAAUUCAUCUAUAUAUAUAUAUAUGUACCUCGAAAUCUAACUGAUACAACACACUAUCUAAAGCCUUCAAAACCAAGAGAUAGAGGUACCAUCGAUGCAAUCUAGGAAGCUUUUCAAUGGUGAGAUGAAAGCAGCAGUCAUUUCCCCCAAGGAUAAUUUGGUUCCAAGUGAUGUUCCCAAGAAGCCUACAACUGACAUAAUGGCUGAUAACGAAAGGCUUUUUUCUGUUCAUCUUGGUAAAAUUGAUCGAUUGUUGCAAUCAGCAGUACCAAGUCCUGGAGCUGGCCACUAGCUAGCUAGACUCAGUUGUCUCCCAACUGUGGUUGCCCUUCAAUACACAGUAUAAUAUAUACGAAUUGGCUGCCAAAAACAUAUAUAACUAGUGUACAUGCAAGGUUUGUCUUACUCUUAUGUUGUUACCUGCAAUAAUCCAAAAUAUCUGCAAUUUUAAUUGAAAAGAAUGCUUAAAAAUGCUAAUUUGCAAUGAUAAAGUUAAUCAAUUUGUUCAUGAGAAGUAUGUUUGUCAUUAAAAUACGAUAAAUUAUCUUUGAUGGAAGAUAGUUUCCACAACACCAAGUUCCGAAGAAACUGUUGAAGUCAAACCGACUUUAAGUCGGUAAAGCAUGGCGGCAAAGGGAGCAUCUAAGUCCGUUAAUUUAGGCUAUAAAUGUAGUGCAUGUACGGUGAGAAAUAGAAGUGUGUAAUGGAGAAAAAGAAAGUGUUUAUAUAUUUAUGUUGUUUUCUAGUAAGUUACUUCCUUGAGUAAUAAACUUAUUUUGGUUUCAGUGUUCA